UUUGAAACACUGGUCCUUGUACGAUCACCGAAGUUAAGCAACAUCAAGCUUGGUAAUUACUUAGAUGGGUGACCAUUUGGGAAUACCAGGUGCUGUAA